CCUACGGGAGGCAGCAGUGAGGAAUAUUGGUCAAUGGACGAGAGUCUGAACGAGCCAAGUAGCGUGAAGGAUGCAUGCCCUCUGGGUUGUAAACUUCUUUUAUGUGGGAAUAAAAUGUUCCACGUGUAGGACUUUGUCUUUACCAUAUGAUUAAGGGAAGGCUAACCUGGUUCCAGCAGCCGCGGUGAUACGGAGGGUCCGAGCGUUAUACGGAUUUAUUGGGUUUAAAGGGAGCGUAGGUGGAUUGUUAAGUCAGUUGUGAAAGUUUGCGGCGCAACCGUAACAUUGCAGUUGAAACUGGCAGGCUUGAGUACAGUAGAGGUGGGCGGAAUUCGUGGUGUAGCGGUGAAAUGCGUAGAUAUCACGAAGAACUCCGAUGGCGAAGGCAGCUCACUGGACUGCAACUGACACUGAGGCUCGAAAGUGUGGGUAGCAAACAGGAUUAGAUACCCCUGUAGUC
rnacentral:rRNA from 1 species